GUCCAACAGAAAGAAAAACACUGAAAAAGUCAUAAGGGUUUGGAACAUCAUAAAGAAUGCUUUCCCCUCUUCAGACCUCUUGACGCCCCGGAGCCAGGAUGUGGGGUUCACUGAUGGCAAACACUCGACAAGCUCCAGCAUUAGCCACAGUCUGACAGAUCUGAAAAUAUCAGACACGGAAGGAAGACAUUCUUCAUUUGAGCACAACAGUGGCAAAGGUGGUGAUUCAUGGCAAACUCUGGAUAUAAACAAGGACUAUCAUGACAGCAAACUCUGCCAGAAUCUCGGCUGUUUAUCAAGAGCAUAUGUGGAGCUGAGCUACAGAAGGCCAAGGCUGACAGCGCACACAUCACAGUCUAUCUGAGGUUUAAUUACUCUCAAAGAGCUGUGUGAAACGUCCACAACCUAACAACAUAAUUACACCAUCAUGGCUCAUUUGAAGGAUAACCACAUGGAAUGAGGAGAUUAUUGGUCCAGAUUUGAUUUGAACUUCAGACAAAUUUCAGAUGGGAAUGUAUUUAAAGGAAUAUUACAUCCCAAAAAUGAGCAUUCUCUCAUGCUCUUCUGUCAUUCCCAGCAUGCAUUGACUUCUUUUGUGUGCCUCCAAAGAGAUCUUUUUAAAGAAUCUUCACUCAGCUUCAUAGCUCAUACUGACUUUACCUGACAAGCCCUAGAAAUAGAAAACAUCAGGACACCUCCAUAAAAAGUACAGCC